GCCUGGGUCCAGAAUUGGCAAGUUUUGAUGGCUGUUUGCAUCCAUUUACUCACGCAAUAGCUGAAUUGAUGAGGCAUGAUUCAAAUAAUGAGCACAUGGCUAUUUCCACGGGUGGGCUCAUUGAUGGCUCCAAUUUGACAAGUUUUUAUGGCUCCAUGAAUUUAGAUGGAUGAGUAUGGAAACUUCAAUUACUUCUCCACGGCUGCCUGAGUCAGCUUGGAGGCCUUGGCUGAUUCAAACUACCCCAUGUGGCCCAUUGAAUGCUGAAUUCAAAAUAGCUUUCUAGAAAUGGCAACAAUUAAGUCCUCUUGAAUGUGCAUUUGUGAUAAAUUCGGCACAUGCACAUUUGUUGCAGAAUAAGGCAACUUCUAAUGCUCCCACAUGGCUCAUCAAUGGGGAUUUAAAUUUUUGAUGCUGAAUAAGGCAAGUAAUCAAGCUCCAUACGACUCAUUAAGUUGAAGAUUCAAACUUGCAUGCUGAAUAAGGUAACAAUCAUGCUCCUUGAGUAAUUUUUGGCAAGUCAUCAAUUGGCUUUCAAAGCUGGAUUGUGAGUUUCACAUGCUGCUUUAAUGGCUUGGCUGAAUCAGAUUUGGUCUAGACUUCAUAAGGAAACUUUCACUCCACGUCCUCCAAUAAUGCAAAGUGUGGGAUCACGGUUUAAAUGGCUGUUUUAAGGCUGAAUGCAUCCCUCUACCAAUAAGGUAAUGGCUGCCCACGAGGCUCCUCCUUUGGCAAGUCAUGCCCAUGGCUUGAUGGUGGUUUAAAUGCUCAUUUGAAUGGCAUGCUGAGUGAGCUUGACUUUGGCUUGAUA